GACGAACGCUGGCGGCAUGCCUAACACAUGCAAGUCGAACGAGAAAGUUCCUUCGGGGACGAUUAAAGUGGCGCACGGGUGAGUAACGCGUAGACAAUCUGCCCUUCAGUCUGGGACAACUUUUCGAAAGGAGAGCUAAUACCGGAUGACAAUGUAGCACAUAAGUGCCACAUUUGAAAGCUCCGGCGCUGAAGGAGGGGUCUGCGUCCCAUUAGCUAGUUGGUAAGGUAAAGGCUUACCAAGG
rnacentral:rRNA from 1 species